ACGUCGACACCUACGGGAGGCGGCAGUAGGGAAUCUUCCACAAUGGACGCAAGUCUGAUGGAGCAACGCCGCGUGAGUGAAGAAGGUUUUCGGAUCGUAAAGCUCUGUUGUUGGUGAAGAAGGAUAGAGGUAGUAACUGGCCUUUAUUUGACGGUAAUCAACCAGAAAGUCACGGCUAACUACGUGCCAUCAGCCGCGGUAAUCUGAGCGGGCUGGCAAGGC
rnacentral:rRNA from 1 species